rnacentral:misc_RNA from 1 species
CACCUGAUAAGGAAAGCGCUUUCUAUCACGAGGUUAUCCAACAUGUGGAUUGGUCACUUCUGCAGCAGCAGCCACCACAAACACUGGACCAACUUUGUUUAAGAGACUUGAGAUCUAGAAAGUGGAUCAAUUAUCCAACUGAAACUGAAGAGCUCGUUACCAUUGUAGCGGAAUCGGUUUUAAGAGAAUUAAUCAUUGAAAGUGUUGUUUACCUUGGUUUGUGAAGCUUUCCUUUACUAUUGCACAUCUUUAUCUGUGCAAAUUCUGAGUAAACUUGUGAUAUUCAAG